rnacentral:rRNA from 1 species
GUGGGGAAUUUUGGACAAUGGGCGCAAGCCUGAUCCAGCAAUGCCGAGUGCAGGAAGAAGGCCUUCGGGUUGUAAACUGCUUUUGUACGGAACGAAACGGUCCGGGUUAAUACCCUGGGCUAAUGACGGUACCGUAAGAAUAAGCACCGGCUAACUACGUGCCAGCAGCCGCGGUAAUACGUAGGGUGCAAGCGUUAAUCGGAAUUACUGGGCGUAAAGCGUGCGCAGGCGGUUUUGUAAGACAGGCGUGAAAUCCCCGGGCUCAACCUGGGAAUUGCGCUUGUGACUGCAAGGCUGGAGUGCGGCAGAGGGGGAUGGAAUUCCGCGUGUAGCAGUGAAAUGCGUAGAUAUGCGGAGGAACACCGAUGGCGAAGGCAAUCCCCUGGGCCUGCACUGACGCUCAUGCACGAAAGCGUGGGGAGCAAACAGGAUUAGAUACCCUAGUAGUCC